GCCAUCAUUUAAAGAAAGCGUAAUAGCUCACUGGUCGAGUCGGCCUGCGCGGAAGAUGUAACGGGGCUAAACCAUGCACCGAAGCUGCGGCAGCGACGCUUAUGCGUUGUUGGGUAGGGGAGCGUUCUGUAAGCCUGCGAAGGUGUGCUGUGAGGCAUGCUGGAGGUAUCAGAAGUGCGAAUGCUGACAUAAGUAACGAUAAAGCGGGUGAAAAGCCCGCUCGCCGGAAGACCAAGGGUUCCUGUCCAACGUUAAUCGGGGCAGGGUGAGUCGACCCCUAAGGCGAGGCCGAAAGGCGUAGUCGAUGGGAAACAGGUUAAUAUUCCUGUACUUGGUGUUACUGCGAAGGGGGGACGGAGAAGGCUAUGUUGGCCGGGCGACGGUUGUCCCGGUUUAAGCGUGUAGGCUGGUUUUCCAGGCAAAUCCGGAAAAUCAAGGCUGAGGCGUGAUGACGAGGCACUACGGUGCUGAAGCAACAAAUGCCCUGCUUCCAGGAAAAGCCUCUAAGCAUCAGGUAACAUCAAAUCGUACCCCAAACCGACACAGGUGGUCAGGUAGAGAAUACCAAGGCGCUUGAGAGAACUCGGGUGAAGGAACUAGGCAAAAUGGUGCCGUAACU
rnacentral:rRNA from 1 species